UCUCUGGUAGUAUAGUGGUGAGUAUCCGCGCCUGUCACGUGCGAGACCGGGGUUCGAUUCCCCGCCAGAGAG
rfam:Strongyloides papillosus strain LIN genome assembly, scaffold: SPAL_contig0000255